rnacentral:rRNA from 1 species
GGACCCGCACAAGCAGCGGAGCGUGUGGUUUAAUUCGAGGCUACACGAAGAACCUUACCAGGGUUUGACAUGCAAGUGGUAGGAAUCCGAAAGGUGACCGACCCUUCGGGGAGCUUGCACAGGUGCUGCAUGGCUGUCGUCAGCUCGUGUCGUGAGAUGUUCGGUUAAGUCCGCUAACGAGCGCAACCCUCGUCGUGUGUUAUACGUGUCACACGAUACUGCCGGUAUCAAGCCGGAGGAAGGUGGGGAUGAUGUCAAGUCAGCAUGGCCUUUAUAUCCUGGGCUACACACACGCUACAAUGGCAGAUACAAUAGGUUGCGAAACCGCGAGGUGGAGCCAAUCCUCAAAGUCUGUCUCAGUUCAGAUUGUAGGCUGCAACUCGCCUGCAUGAAGUUGGAGUUGCUAGUAAACGCAGGUCAGCUAUACUGCGUUGAAUACGUUCCCGGGGUUU